rnacentral:rRNA from 1 species
GAGUUUGAUCCUGGCUCAGGACGAACGCUGGCGGCGUGCUUAAUACAUGCAAGUCAAGGAGAACAUUUCCUUCGGGAAAUUAUUAAACUGGCGAACGGGUGAGUAACACGUAGGCAACCUGCCUUGGAGAUGGGGAUAACCCCGGGAAACCGGGACUAAUACCGAAUAAUGCAGCGGCUUCUUUGGAAGAUGUUGUUAAAGCGGGCUUCGGCUCGCACUUCAAGAUGGACCUGCGUCCGAUUAGCUUGUUGGUAAGGUAACGGCUCACCAAGACUACGAUCUAUAGCUGGUCUGAGAGGAUGAUCAGCCACACUGGGACUGAGACACGGCCCAGACUCCUACGGGAGGCAGCAGUGGGGAAUAUUGGACAAUGGGGGCAACCCUGAUCCAGCGAUGCCGCGUGAGUGAUGAAGGACUUAGGGUUGUAAAACUCUUUCGUCAGGGAAGAUAAUGACGGUACCUGAAGAAGAAGAUCCGGCUAACUCCGUGCCAGCAGCCGCGGUAAUACGGAGGGAUCUAGCGUUAUUCGGAAUUACUGGGCGUAAAGCGAGCGUAGGCGGAUUUGUAAGUUGGAGGUGAAAUCCCAGAGCUUAACUCUGGAACUGCCUUCAAAACUACAUUUCUUGAGUUUGGUAGAGGAGAGUGGAAUUCCUAGUGUAGAGGUGAAAUUCGUAGAUAUUAGGAGGAACACCAGUGGCGAAGGCGACUCUCUGGGCCAAUACUGACGCUGAGGUUCGAAGGCAUGGGUAGCGAACAGGAUUAGAUACCCUGGUAGUCCAUGCAGUAAACGAUGAGUGCUAGAUGUUGGGAAUUUAAAUUUCCAGUAUCGCAGCUAACGCCUUAAGCACUCCGCCUGGGAAGUACGGCCGCAAGGCUAAAACUCAAAUGAAUUGACGGGGACCCGCACAAGCGGUGGAUCAUGUGGUUUAAUUCGAAGAUACGCGAAGAACCUUACCGGCCCUUGACGUACCAAUCGCGGACUUAAGAGAUUAGGUCUUUCACUUCGGGUGGAUUGGAUACAGGUGCUGCAUGGCUGUCGUCAGCUCGUGUCGUGAGAUGUUGGGUUAAGUCCCGCAACGAGCGCAACCCUUACCUUCAAUUGCCAGCACGUUAUGGUGGGAACUUUGAAGGAACUGCCGGUGAUAAGCCGGAGGAAGGUGGGGAUGACGUCAAGUCCUCAUGGCCCUUACGGGCCGGGCUACACACGUGAUACAAUGGUAACUACAAAAGGCAGCGAAGGAGCAAUCUGGAGCAAAUCCCUAAAAGUUACCUCAGUUCGGAUUGCACUCUGCAACUCGAGUGCAUGAAGUUGGAAUCGCUAGUAAUCGUAGAUCAGCGCGCUACGGUGAAUACGUUCCCGGGUCUUGCACACACCGCCCGUC